GAUGAACGCUGGCGGCGUGCCUAAUACAUGCAAGUCGAGCGAACAGACGAUGAGCUUGCUCCUCUGACGUUAGCGGCUGACGGGUGAGUAACACGUGGAUAACCUACCUAUAAGACUGGGGUAACUUCGGGAAACCGGAGCUAAUACCGGAUAAUAUAUUGAACCGCAUGGUUCAAUAGUUAAAGACGGUUUUGCUGUCACUUAUAGAUGGAUCCGCGCCGCAUUAGCUAGUUGGUAAGGUAACGGCUUACCAAGGCGACGAUGCGUAGCCGACCUGAGAGGGUGAUCAGCCACACUGGAACUGAGACACGGUCCAGACUCCUACGGGAGGCAGCAGUGGGGAAUAUUGCGCAAUGGGCGCAAGCCUGACGGAGCCACACCGCGUGAGUGAUGAAGGUCUUCGGAUCGUAAAACUCUGUUAUUAGGGAAGAACAAAUGUGUAAGUAACUAUGCACGUCUUGACGGUACCUAAUCAGAAAGCAACGGCUAACUACGUG
rnacentral:rRNA from 1 species